rnacentral:tRNA from 1 species
GGAGCAUUCGUAUAAUGGAAAAUAUACUUGACUGUCUAUCAAGAGAUAGGAGUUCAAUUCUCCUAUGUUCCG